UACGAAGGGGGCUAGCGUUGCUCGGAAUCACUGGGCGUAAAGCGCACGUAGGCGGCUUCUUAAGUCAGGGGUGAAAUCCUGGAGCUCAACUCCAGAACUGCCUUUGAUACUGAGGAUCUUGAGUUCGGGAGAGGUGAGUGGAACUGCGAGUGUAGAGGUGAAAUUCGUAGAUAUUCGCAAGAACACCAGUGGCGAAGGCGGCUCACUGGCCCGAUACUGACGCUGAGGCACGAAAGCGUGGGGAGCAAACAGU
rnacentral:rRNA from 1 species